rnacentral:misc_RNA from 1 species
AGAUUUGACAGUGUAGACUACAUCACUUCCAGAUUUCGAGAAUAACGUAUUUUCAGAUUCUUUGAAGCCAUGGAAAGAUUCCAAGGGUACAACCAGAUAUGAAAUGCAUAGUAUUCGUUAAUCGGAUCGUGACUGCAAGGUCCCUUUCGUAUAUUCUUCAGCAUCUGAAAAUUUUAUCUUCUUGGAAGUGCGGGUUUCUUGUAGGUGUCCACUCGGGAUUGAAGAGUAUGUCACGAAAAAAUACAAAUAUCAUUCUCGAUAAGUUUCGUUCUGGUGAGCUCAAUUUAUUGAUUGCAACCAAAGUUGGCGAGGAAGGACUUGAUAUCCA